UGCAGUGGAUGGCAAGGUUCUGCUUAUUGCCCUGCCUCUAACUGCCUUUCUAGUUUUGCUUAUCCUGGGAAUCUCCAUCUACUGCUGCUGCUGUCGAAGAAAGAAGGCAAGAGGAGAAAGCAAACAGGAGACCAAAUGGCGUCGUCAACGUGAAGAAAGAGAGAA